rnacentral:tRNA from 2 species
GGAGAGAUGGCUGAGUCCGGUUGAAAGCGCACGACUCGAAAUCGUGUGAGCCGUUUGUAGCGGCUCCGUGGGUUCGAAUCCCACUCUCUCCGCCA